rnacentral:snoRNA from 2 species
CUAUUAUACUGAUGAAUGCAUAGUUCAUAUUAUUUAAACUGAUUACAUUAAUUCUUUCGCUCCUAUCUGAUACAUUUU